rnacentral:rRNA from 1 species
GUCUUUUUGUUUUUAAUUUAAAGUCAGGCCUGCCCAAUGAUUUAUUUUAAUGGCCGCAGUAUCCUAACUGUGCAAAGGUAGCAUAAUCAUUUGUUAUUUAAUUGAUAACUGGAAUGAAUGGUUUUAUAAAAAAUAUUCUUUUUUUAUUUUUAAUUUAAAAUUUUAUUUUAAAGUCAAAAAGCUUUAAUUUAUUUAUUAGACGAUAAGACCCUUUAGAACUUUAAUAUUACUUUAAAUUAUAUUUUUAGUUUUAUAAAUAUAAAUUAUUUAUAUAUUUUUGUUGGGGUGACAGUUAAUUUUUAAAAACUUUAAUUUAUAUUUAUUCAUAUAUUUAUGAUUUUUUUGAUCCAAUUUUUUUGAUUAUAAGAUUAAGUUACCUUAGGGAUAACAGCGUAAUUUUGUUGGAGAGUUCUUAUUAAUAACAAAGUUUGCGACCUCGAUGUUGGAUUAAAAUAAUAUUUUGGUGUAGAAGCUAAUUUUAUUAGUCUGUUCGACUAUUAAUUUUUUACA